rnacentral:lncRNA from 1 species
UUACAAAAUGUCAUCUAUAAUAAUUAAAUUAUUUAGGUAAUCAUUUAAAUAUAAUUUGUUACUUAAUGAGUAAAUAACUUUUUUUAAAGAGUUAGAAAGUAUUUCUUCCUAUACUAGCUAUAUACCAAAUACUAAUUCCCGGUUCUCGUCCAUCUAGUAAUAAAACAAGAUUAUAAUAAAACCAAUUGAGGUCAAAUAAAAACUUUAAAAAAAAAUUAGAAUGAUGGUAGUAUAAAUGAUAUAACACUGUGUCUCUCAUUCCCAUUUACUAUACCUAAUAUGCUAUUAACAAACAUAAAGACAUUCACAUGAUAUGAAUUAACAAAAUAGUGAUUAAAAGGAAGAAAAAUAAAUAAGCAGUACUAAUUAAAAGUGAUAGCAACAGUAACUGAAGUAAAACACCUUUUAAAAUGACACUAAACACUUUUCUCCUAGAGCUACCACAAACAACAUCUACACAAUCCCCAAAUGUCCAAUAUACAGGAUACUCACAAAUGCUUUUAUACAAAACAAACACCAUAACAAUGUAAACAAAUCAAAAUUAACAAGAAAAGCCUAUAGAAAAAACAGUACAUGAUAUACCUUGAACCUUAUAAGAAUCUUCCACUGAAUCAAUGUUAUAGAAACUAGUAUAAUAAUGUAGCAUAAUAAAAAAAUAUCUUAUGAAUAUUUACAAGGUUAUUCAUCCCGAAACACACUCCAUGGCAGAACAUACGGCAUUGAAAUUUAUGCAAUAAAACCGACAUGUAAUGCAACCAUAUUGAAACCGAAACAAAUAUUAGAGCUAUAAGCAUGAUUCAACAGCUAGAACAGAACCAAAAUAUGAUACAAGUUCCUGUUUAUAACAGUAUUUUCAACAUUAUAAUAUCGAAUACCAAAACGGUAUAACCCAAUCGGAAAGGAAGUAAAUAUGCAAUUGAAACAGAAAUAUAAUCGAAACAUUUACACGUCAAAGCUGCGAAUGAUAUUUGAUUUUAAACGCGACAACUUAAGCAUACAACAACAACAACACGAUCACAUCGAAAAUACCCCGGAAAAGAAUAUUACAACAUACCCAUCAGUAUAGAUUACUGCAACCGAAUCAAAACCAAAACUAUGGCUGUAACAAACAGCAUAACAUCCAGGAAAACAUGACAUAAACUGUUAUGCGCGAUGCCAACCACAACAACAUAUGACAUUCAUGGUGCAACCUCAACAUACUUAUUUUCAUUUAUUUUCUUAAAAAUAAACACAGCAUCAAUAUACAAAGUUAAAUAUAUCGAAAUUGACGAUUUUGAAUCUUCAUUACAAAAUAUCCGGUUUCGAUAUCACAAAUGCAACUAGCAGUAACUCAAAAUAUGUUGCAUCAUUAACAACUUUUACCACAUGAUUUUGAAAUCUAACCAUAAUGUAAUGAACCCAAAUCGAUAUUUAAGACGAGAAACCAAUACGCAAAAACGGAGAUGCAAUGCAAAUUAAGACCAAAUAACAACAUUUUCCGAUAACAACAUAUCUAAAAGAUAGUCGGCAACACUAACAUAUCUAAAAGAUAGUCGGCAACAAUCUUGAUAGAAAAUAAUCGCAGCAACUUCACCAUUAAGCCAGUACCGAAAUACACAGUGAAUGAACAAUAUAAUCUAAUUAUUUCUAAAAAAAAUCUGAACAUUGAACAAUAUAGUAAAUUUCGAUUCGUUACCGUCGGCAAAACGUUAUCGUGUCGUGUUGAACUCGCUACUGCUGUAUGUCUUCUCUAGGAGUGAUGUUUGAUUUUGUUUGUGGAAGUGGUUUCCUUUCAUACGUUAUGUGCUUGAUGAGCCUUAAAAACUUCACAAUCUGAAUCGUAACUAGCAACAACCAUUAAAGUUGUAUCUACAACAUGGUCGUCAUCCUUGAGAGACCAAGUUGAAAAGUUUGUGCUUCUCCAAGAUUUUCAAUAGCGACGUCUUGUUGUGUUUGGUGACGAUGGAGACGGUUUCUACAGCGGUUACGGAGUUGAAUCCAGUGGAAGGUUAAAGGCGAGGGUUCAAAUCCGCCACCGAUAGAGGAGAACAAAGUUUGGGGCUGCCGGCGAGCGACGGAGAGAGUACGAGUGAGGCGGUGUGUAUGUUGGUGUGGUGUAUCCAACGAUGGAUAUGGGCGGAUGGUAGGUGGUGAAGAAGAAGCGAAGACAGUGGGUGUGUGGGUUUCGCCGGUGGAGACGGACAGAGGGAGAUGAUGUCGGAAAGGGAGUAUUGGUUGUCCUCCUUUGUGGAAAAUGUGAAUAGUGUUGGUUAAAGGAAGAAGAUGAGUGAGGGUGGAAGUGUGAAGGGUUUGUUCGCGAGGAAGAUGAGAAUAAGCUUUUUUUGUUUCUGUUUUGACAGAUGAGAGGGUGAGGUAUUGAAUGGAGAGAGAGUCUAGUAGCCAAGAGAGAGGGAUAAGGUGUCCUUUUAUUUAUUUCUUUUCCAUGUUACCGUUGAAAGCUUUUUUUUCUCUUCUUUUCCAUCUUACCGUUGGAAGCUAUGCAUUGGAGAGAGAGAAUUUUUUUACUUAUUUUCAAAUUUUCUUAAAUAAUAAUAUUAAUUAAAUCCUAAUUUUGAUUGGAUUAAUGGGAUAAAUAUGGAUGGCUAAUAAUGGCCACUGAUUAAUUUGAACCGGUGGCUUGGAUUGAAUCAGAGAAACACACCAAGAAACAUACACUAUUUAAAUAAAUCAAAAUGCAUAUAAUGCCUUUUUUAGAUGAUUUAAUCGAUUUAAAACAAUUUAAAUCAAUUGAAUCAAAUAAAAUUCACAACUUUUUAAACAAUCAUGAUAAAAUUAAAAUAAUAACAUGGAAAAUUCUAUUUAUUCAAUCUGACUAUUUUGACGAAAGAACAAAAUUAAAAUGACUAAAAAUGAAUAAAAGUUGGGCGAAAAUUUGCUCGAAAAAUUAAAUCGGAUGCAUGAAAAUGAUCAGUGUGAAAUAUAUUUAUUGAAAAAUUACAGCGUGUUUUUAAAUUCUGAAAUAAAUUUGCAUCGGUUAAAAGACUCAGGCGGGUCAAAAUGCAACCGAAACAGUCGCUGAAAAAUAUAACGGGCACACCAGUUUAAACUACAUGAACCGUAUGUUAAUAAUACUGGCGUCUGCAAUUUUAAAUUUGAGACUUUUUAUCUGCUGAUUUUGUCCGUACUUGAGAAAAGAUUCAACCGAUUUGUCUGUAUUUUCAAGAAUUUAUUCUGACUGAUAUUUUAGGUUUUAUUCAUGAUGAAAUGCAUGUCAUGCUGUGCGUAUCGUGCAAAUUAAAAAUGGAAUCAGAUUUACGAAAAUUUAAAUAUGGUCGGACAAAAUUGGGGUAUGACAAUGGUGGUGGAGAAUAUGUGUCGAAAUAUUUCGAUGCAUUACGUGUGAAAGAAGGGAUUGUGCAUGAGGUUGUGCCACCAUACACUCAACAGCAAAAUGGAGUCACAUAAAGGAAUAAUAGAACCAUUAUGAAUAUGGUUAGAAGUAUGUUGAAAGGCAAGUAUCUACCCAAAGAGUUAUGGGGAGAAGCUGUGUCGACAUCGACAUAUAUCCUGAACAGAUGUCCAACGAAAAAGCCUAGCUUGAGUCAUCUGUGGGUGUUUGGAUCUAUAGCACAUAGACAUGUGCCAGAUCAGUUAAGAAGAAAACUUGAUAACAAGUCGAGUCAGAUGAUCCUCAUAGGAUAUCAUUCAAUUGGAGGAUACAAGUUAUUCGACCCAAUGAAUAAGCAAGUAGUGAUCAGUAUGGACGUGAUCAUAAAUGAGCUUAAGGAGUGGGAUUGGAUUGAGAAUGUCAAGAGAGAUUCAGUGAGAAUCUUUUAUGAUGAACCAGCUAGUGAAGUCGAAAAAAAAGUUCGACAGGAAGAAGUCAGAGGUGAAGCAGGCCCAAGCAGAUAUCAAAGAACAAGACACAUGGCUACAAGGUUGCAAGAAUGUAUGAUUACAUCAGAUGAUAUGGUUAAUGAAGAAUGUGAGCUGGUAUAUUAUUCUUUCUACGCAGAUGUUGAACCCGUCAAUGCAGCUAAGGCAUUGAAAGAUUCGAAGUGGAUGAAAGCAAUGGACGAAGAGCUGAAGUCAAUCAAAGUCAAUAACACAUGGUCACUUAUCGAAUUGCCCCAAAACAAGAAGGCAAUCGAUGUGAAGUGGGUAUACAAGGUGAAGCGAAUCCCAAAGGAAAGGUGACUCGACACAAGGCGAGACUUGUGGCAAAAGGAUUUCUUCAGAAAGAAGGAAUCGACUUCGAUGAAGUUUUUGCACCUGUUGCUAGGAUCGAAACAAUCAGGUUGGUUGUUGGUCUAUCAAAGAUGAACAACUGGCAAAUGUGUCAGAUGGAUGUGAAAUGUGCAUUCCUUAAUGGCCCCUUAGAAGAAUAAGUUUAUCUUGCACAACCAACUGAGUUUGUGAAACAAGGCGAAGAAAGAAAGGUGUACAGGUUGCAUAAAGCCCUGUACGGACUUAAACAAGCUCCAAGAGUUUGGAACAAGAAGAUAUAUGGCUUUAUAAGGGAGAAUGAAUUUAUGAAGUGCACAAGUGAACAUGGUGUAUAUGUAAGAAGAAGCAAGAGUGAAUUUCUUAUACUAUGUCUCUAUGUCGAUGGCCUGUUGAUAACAGGUAGUUGCAAGAAGGAGAUCGAAGACUUUAAAAGUGAUCUCAACAAGGAAUUUGAAAUGUCAGAUCUGGGUGACAUUUCAUAUUUCCUUGGCAUUGAAUUCUACAAGAGUGGUAAAGGUUUGAUGAUGCAUCAAAGAAGGUAUGCAAACGAAAUACUCAAGAGAUUUGAUAUGCAAGAUUGCAACCCAACUUUGACUCCAGCUGAACCCAUAUUACAACUGUCGAAAUAUUCAGAUGAAGAUGAUGUCGACCCAACCCAAUAUAGAAGACUUAUUGGGUCACUUCGAUACCUUUGUCAUACAAGGCCUGACUUAGCAUACAAUGUAGGUAUGGUGAGUAGGUGUCGCAUUACGCGAAAAACCGGCGGGAAAACGAAACAACAGAGCCGCCACCGUGCGUUAUUUAUCCCAAAGGAGGGAAAGGAAACGCUCGAAGUAAACCUGGGAAAGACAUGGUCUCGCGACCGGAAUCCGGUCGCGAGACCAUGUCUUUCCCAGGUUUACUUCGAGCGUUUCCUUUCCCUCCUUUGGGAUAAAUAACGCACGGUGGCGGCUCUGUUGUUUCGUUUUCCCGCCGGUUUUUCGCGUAAUGCGACAGCUGGCGACUUUGCUGGGGAUAGAAUAGCCUUUAAACCUGCUACCCUACUGCUGGGGAAUAACAAUUCUAAUAGCUUUCAGACUUGCUUGGGGAACAACCAUUCUCAAGCCUGCUGGGGAGACAUCCUCAACCAUUAGGAACAAUUUACCCACCGACACCUCUACUAGGGAUAUGGCAACCUUCAGGCUCGUUGGGGAGACACCGAUCUCGAAUCUGCUGUGGAGAUAACACUCCCAAAUCCACUGGGGAGAUACGACUUAUUUGACAUGGAACGCCCAUCGAUUCGUCGAACACCGGCAUUCAUUAUCUAACCACAGUGUCAACUUUCCACUCUUGAGAGACUCCCAGACUCAUCCGGUCUUUUCGGAUCCAUCACCCAGUAUUCUCGUCUCUUCCUUGCUUUGAGACGAAUGAUCUCCUCAGAUCCGGGCAAACUCUCCAAUCUUCAUACUUUGAAGAGUCUUCUUGAUUACCCUCUAGGAUCGUCAUCGCAAUUCUUUCAUCUCUUCACUGUUCUUCUAUCCCUUGCCCCUGAUUGGGCUCUGCAAGGAUCUUCUGUCAAAGUGUUACCCAUCACAAACU